rnacentral:rRNA from 1 species
UGCAAGUCGAGCGGCAGCGCGGUGGUAGCAAUACCACUGGCGGCGAGCGGCGGACGGGUGAGGAACACAUCGGAAUCUACCCUGUCGUGGGGGAUAACGAAGGGAAACUUACGCUAAUACCGCAUACGACCUUUGGGUGAAAGCGGGGGACUCGCAAGAGCCUCGCGCGAUUGGAUGAGCCGAUGUCCGAUUAGCUAGUUGGCGGGGUAAUGGCCCACCAAGGCGACGAUCGGUAGCUGGUCUGAGAGGACGACCAGCCACACUGGAACUGAGACACGGUCCAGACUCCUACGGGAGGCAGCAGUGGGGAAUAUUGGACAAUGGGGGCAACCCUGAUCCAGCCAUGCCGCGUGGGUGAAGAAGGCCUUCGGGUUGUAAAGCCCUUUUGUACGGGAAGAAAUGGCCUCGGUGAAUACCCGGGGCAGCUGACGGUACCGUAAGAAUAAGCACCGGCUAACUUCGUGCCAGCAGCCGCGGUAAUACGAAGGGUGCAAGCGUUACUCGGAAUUACUGGGCGUAAAGCGUGCGUAGGCGGUUGGUUAAGUCUGAUGUGAAAUCCCCGGGCUCAACCUGGGAAUGGCAUUGGAAACUGGUCAGCUAGAGUACGGUAGAGGGUGGUGGAAUUCCCGGUGUAGCAGUGAAAUGCGUAGAGAUCGGGAGGAACAUCUGUGGCGAAGGCGGCCACCUGGACCAGUACUGACGCUGAGGCACGAAAGCGUGGGGAGCAAACAGGAUUAGAUACCCUGGUAGUCCACGCCCUAAACGAUGCGAACUGGAUGUUGGGGGCAACUUGGCCCUCAGUAUCGAAGCUAACGCGUUAAG